rnacentral:rRNA from 1 species
GACGAACGCUGGCGGCGUGCUUAACACAUGCAAGUCGAACGGAAAGGCCCUGCUUUUGUGGGGUGCUCGAGUGGCGAACGGGUGAGUAACACGUGAGUAACCUGCCCUUGACUUUGGGAUAACUUCAGGAAACUGGGGCUAAUACCGGAUAGGAGCUCCUGCUGCAUGGUGGGGGUUGGAAAGUUUCGGCGGUUGGGGAUGGACUCGCGGCUUAUCAGCUUGUUGGUGGGGUAGUGGCUUACCAAGGCUUUGACGGGUAGCCGACCUGAGAGGGUGACCGGCCACAUUGGGACGGAGAUACGGCCCAGACUACUACGUGAGGCAGCAGUGGGGAAGAUUGCACAAUGGGCGGAAGCCUGAUGCAGAAACGCCGCGUGCGGGAUGACGGCCUUCGGGUUGUAAACCGCUUUCGCCUGUGACGAAGCGUGAGUGACGGUAAUGGGUAAAGAAGCACCGGCUAACUACGUG